GAAAGUUUGAAGCCUAAUAUUAAAAGAAGAAGAAGGACCUGAAAGCUGAGGGCUCUGCCUCCCAUUCUGAAUAAAAUAUUCUAAGUAAACCAGCAGUCUGACAUUGUUACUGUUACUAUGUUACUAUGAGGUCUUCAAGAUGGGAACACCUACUUAUAACUCUACUUUUGUCCAUGGGCAGCCAAUCAGAACAAAGGUUGGAAGAUUAAAGGAAAGAUUAGGAAACCAAAAAAGCUUGUUUUCAAUAGCAGAUGAUGGGGCGCACCAAGGUCUCGUAUAAGAUGAAGACAUCAGGGUUCAGCAUCUUGGCUAAGGAUACUUUGGAUACUUUGGCAUGCAGACCGGAUCAGCAAUUGAACCACCAACCUUCCAAUUAGCCACAGGCACCCAUCAUAAAAACAAAAGGUAAA